rnacentral:tRNA from 1 species
GCGGAUAUAGCUCAGUUGGUAGAGCGUCACCUUGCCAAGGUGAAGGUCACGAGUUCGAGCCUCGCUAUCCGCU